UCCUGGCUCAGGACGAACGCUGGCGGCGUGCUUAACACAUGCAAGUCAAGGAGAACAUUUUCUUCGGAAAAUUAUUAAACUGGCGAACGGGUGAGUAACGCGUAGGCAACCUGCCCUAGAGAUUGGGAUAACCCCGGGAAACCGGGGCUAAUACCGAAUGAUGCAGCGGAUCCUUUGGGAUACAGUUGUUAAAGUGGGCUUCGGCUCACACUUUAGGAUGGGUCUGCGUCCGAUUAGCUUGUUGGUGAGGUAACGGCUCACCAAGGCAUCGACGGGUAGCUGGUCUGAGAGGACGAUCAGCCACACUGGGACUGAGAUACGGCCCAGACUCCUACGGGAGGCAGCAGUGGGGAAUCUUGCGCAAUGGGCGAAAGCCUGACGCAGCCACGCCGCGUGAGUGAUGAAGGCCUUCGGGUCGUAAAGCUCUUUCAGCAGGGACGAAAAUGACGGUACCUGCAGAAGAAGCCCCGGCCAACUACGUGCCAGCAGCCGCGGUAACACGUAGGGGGCAAGCGUUGUCCGGAUUUAUUGGGCGUAAAGGGCUCGUAGGCUGUUCAGUAAGUCAGGUGUGAAAACUCGAGGCUCAACCUCGAGACGCCACUUGAUACUGCUGUGACUUGAGUUCGGUAGAGGAGUGUGGAAUUCCUAGUGUAGCGGUGAAAUGCGUAGAUAUCAGAAGGAACACCAAAGGCGAAGGCAACUUACUGGGCAUUAAUUGACGCUGAGGAACGAAAGCGUGGGUAGCAAACAGGAUUAGAGACCCUGGUAGUCCACGCCGUAAACGAUGAGUACUUGGUGGUGGGGGAUUCUACCCCUUCACUGUCGGAGCUAACGCGUUAAGUACUCCGCCUGGGAACUACGACCGCAAGGUUGAAACUCAAAGGAAUUGACGGGGACCCGCACAAGCGGUGGAUUAUGUGGUUUAAUUCGAUGCAACGCGAAGAACCUUACCUGGACUUGACAUGUUAGUGAAAGUCCUGUGAAAGCAGGACCAUCUGCGAGCUUGCUCAAGGACACUAUCACAGGUGAUGCAUGGCUGUCGUCAGCUCGUGUCGUGAGAUGUUCGGUUAAGUCCGAUAACGAGCGCAACCCCUAUCCUUAGUUGCCAGCACGUAAUGGUGGGGACUCUAGGGAAACUGCCCGGGAUAACCGGAAGGAAGGUGGGGUCGACGUCAAGUCAGUAUGUCCCUUACGUUCAGGGCUACACACGUAAUACAAUGGGGAGUACAGAGGGUAGCAAUACUGCGAAGUGGAGCCAAUCCCAAAAAACUUCCCCAAGUUCGGAUUGCAGUCUGCAACUCGACUGCAUGAAGCAGGAAUCGCUAGUAAUCGCGCAUCAGCAUUGCGCGGUGAAUACGUUCCCGGGUCUUGUACACACCGCCCGUCACGCCAUAGAAGCCGGUAGCACCCAAUGUCAGUGUCCUAACCUUCGGGGAGGAACUGCUUAAGGUGAGAUUGGUAACUGGGGCGAAGUCGUAACAAGGUAGCC
rnacentral:rRNA from 1 species